rnacentral:rRNA from 1 species
AUUGAACGCUGGCGGCGUGCUUAACACAUGCAAGUCGAUCGGUAACAGGUGUAGCAAUACAUGCUGACGAGAGGCGGACGGGUGAGGAAUAUUUGGGAAUCUGCCCAUCAGCGGGGGACAACCCGGGGAAACCCGGGCUAAUACCGCAUACGCUCUACGGAGGAAAGCCGGGGACCGCAAGGCCUGGCACUGAUAGAUGAGCCCAAAUCGGAUUAGCUAGUUGGAGGGGUAACGGCCCACCAAGGCGACGAUCCGUGGCUGGACUGAGAGGACGGUCAGCCAGACCGGAACUGAGACACGAGCCAGACUCCUACGGGAGGCAGCAGUGGGGAGUAUUGGACAAUGGGGGAGACCCUGGACCAGCGACGGCGCGUGGGUGAAGAAGGCCUGCGGGUUGUAAAACCCUUUCGGUAGGGACGAAAGCUCUUGCUCUAAUAAGGCAAGAGGUUGACGUAACCUACAUAAGAAGCACCGGCUAACUCUGUGCCAGCAGCCGCCGUAA